rnacentral:rRNA from 1 species
GACGAACGCUGGCGGCGUGCUUAACACAUGCAAGUCGAACGGAAAGGCCCCUUUGGGGGUCCUCGAGUGGAGAACGGGUGAGUAACACGUGAGUAACCUGCCCUUGCCUUCGGGAUAACUUCAGGAAACUGGGGCUAAUACCGGAUCGGAAUCCUUGCUGCAUGGUGGGGGUUGGAAAGCUUCGGCGGUUUUGGAUGGACUCGCGGCUUAUCAGCUUGUUGGUGGGGUAGUGGCUUACCAAGGCUAUGACGGGUAGCCGGCCUGAGAGGGCGACCGGCCACAUUGGGACUGAGAUACGGCCCAGACUCCUACGGGAGGCAGCAGUGGGGAAUAUUGCACAAUGGGCGGAAGCCGGAUGCAGCAACGCCGCGUGCGGGAUGACGGCCUUCGGGUUGUAAACCGCUUUCAGCAGGGGCGAAGCUUGUGGUGACGGUACCUGCAGAAGAAGCACCGGCUAACUACGUG